ACUCCUACGGGAGGCAGCAGUGGGGAAUAUUGCACAAUGGGCGCAAGCCUGAUGCAGCGACGCCGCGUGGGGGAUGAAGGCCUUCGGGUUGUAAACUCCUUUCGCUAGGGACGAAGCUUUUUUGUGACGGUACCUAGAUAAGAAGCACCGGCUAACUACGUGCCAGCAGCCGCGGUAAUACGUAGGGUGCGAGCGUUGUCCGGAAUUACUGGGCGUAAAGGGCUCGUAGGUGGUUUGUCGCGUCGUCUGUGAAAUUCUGGGGCUUAACUCCGGGCGUGCAGGCGAUACGGGCAUAACUUGAGUGCUGUAGGGGUAACUGGAAUUCCUGGUGUAGCGGUGAAAUGCGCAGAUAUCAGGAGGAACACCGAUGGCGAAGGCAGGUUACUGGGCAGUUACUGACGCUGAGGAGCGAAAGCAUGGGUAGCGAACAGGAUUAGAUACCCCUGUAGUCCCAUGA
rnacentral:rRNA from 1 species